UGGGGAAUAUUGCACAAUGGGCGCAAGCCUGAUGCAGCCAUGCCGCGUGUGUGAAGAAGGCCUUCGGGUUGUAAAGCACUUUCAGCGAGGAGGAAGGUGGUGAGCUUAAUACGCUCAUCAAUUGACGUUACUCGCAGAAGAAGCACCGGCUAACUCCGUGCCAGCAGCCGCGGUAAUACGGAGGGUGCAAGCGUUAAUCGGAAUUACUGGGCGUAAAGCGCACGCAGGCGGUUUGUUAAGUCAGAUGUGAAAUCCCCGGGCUCAACCUGGGAACUGCAUUUGAAACUGGCAAGCUAGAGUCUCGUAGAGGGGGGCUAGAAUUCCAGGUGUAGCGGUGAAAUGCGUAGAGAUCUGGAGGAAUACCGGUGGCGAAGGCGGCCCCCUGGANGAAGACUGACGCUCAGGUGCGAAAGGCGUGGGGCAGCAAACAGGAUUAGAUACCCUGGUAGUCCACGCUGUAAACGAUGUCGA
rnacentral:rRNA from 1 species